CGGUAUCUUGACCGUGCAAAGGUAGCAUAAUCACUUGUCUCCUAAAUAGAGACUGGUAUGAAUGGCAAGACGGAGCUAGACUGUCUCUUUUUUUAACCCUGAAAUUUACUUCUACGUGAAGAGGCGUAGAUAAAAUCGCUAGACGAGAAGACCCUGUCGAGCUUAAAGUAAAACGUAAGACCCCCAAAAAGUUAAACAAUACUAAUCAAUAAAUUUACAAAACUUAGACUACAGCGUUCUUACGAAAAGCUUUGGUUGGGGCAACCGCGGAAAAAGAAAAUCUUCCGUUAACUAAAAAUUUAACAAAGGAAUACCCUCCUAAUAUCAGAAAUGAAAGCAUGAUCCACUUAGGUGAUCAAAGGAACAAGUUACCGCAGGGAUAACAGCGUUAUCUUUUUUGAGAGUUCACAUUGACAAAAAGGUUUGCGACCUCGAUGUUGGAUCGGGACAUCCCAAGGGU
rnacentral:rRNA from 1 species